UCAACCACUUUAAUCAAUUUAAACAUAUUGGACACAGAAGCAGAAAAGCAUAUUACUUUUGGUAUUUAUUUCACUUUGUCAAGGAUUUCUACUCAUUUGAUAGCUGUGGAAUUCCUUUUUACUUUAAAAAUCUACCUCUAUUAUUUUGAGUCCUAUAUGUCAUGGAUGGGCUUCCCUGGUGGAUCAUCAGUGAAGAAUCUGCCUGCAAUGCAGGGGACUCAGGUUUGAUCCCUAGUUUGGAAAGAUCUCCUGAAGGAGGAAAUGGCUACCACUCCAGUAUUCUUGCCUAGGAAAUUACACGGACAGAGGUGCCUUGCAGGCUAUAGUCCAGGGGAUCACAAAAGACUUGAACACAAAUUAGCGACUAAACAAUAACAGCAGUGUCAAGGAUAUCUCUUGAAUAUUCACAUGAAUUUAAAUAAUUUGUUUUCAGAAUUUUAGUGGGAGAAAAAGAAUAAAAUUUUCUCUUAAAGGAUGAACAUCAGUAUUUUCUAGGUAUAAAAAAUACAUUUUCUGAGAUAUAAUCUCACUAAAAAUGAUUAUUCUGCUUUUUAAAAAUUAUAGAUAACCUAUUUCUUUUCAAAAAGGAUUCUGAGGUUACUUGAUCACAUUGAAGCCAUACCUGCAAACAUGACUCUGCUUUAAGUAUGUUUUUAGUAAAACUCCUUUUACUCUCUUCUUUAGGGUAAAAGAAUCUGCCUGCAAUGCAAGAGACCCAGGUUCAAUCCCUGUGUUGGGAAUGGCAACACCCCCCAAUAUUCUUGCCUGCAGAAUUCCAUGGACAGAGGAGUUUGGCGGGCUGCAGUCCAUGGGGUCACAAAGAGUCGGACAUGACUAAGUGACUAACACUUUCACACUUUGGGGCUCAGGAUAAUGCUUAUGCCAAAGCAGCAUAUUUGGGGUUGCACAUUCUGCUGUCCUUCACUAGAUUCAUGUUUUGUUGAAUGAGCAGAAAGGCAAGUCUUGGGGGAUGAAAUUUUGUUCCCCUUUUAUUUGGAUUACCCAAGCAUCUCUACUGCUUUCUGAUUUCUUUCAAGGAUACCACACUCUCAGACUCAGGAAUGAGGAGGAAAGAGGUAUAAAUGGCUACCCUCUGAGCACAGAAUAGCCAAGAUCUCAGAUAGAGAUAAGGAGCUGUCUAUAGUGGAUAUCCCUAAACACUAAUAAGUGACUCUGAUAAGGG
ensembl:lncRNA